UUAUCUCUGUAGAGUCUGCAUAUCAAUAAGCGGAGGAAAAGAAACUAACUAGGAUUCCCUUAGUAACGGCGAGUGAAGCGGGAAGAGCUCAAAUUUGAAAUCUUCAAGGUUUUACCUUGACGAAUUGUAGUUUAAAGAAGUGUUUUCUGUUGAGUGUUUCGGUAAAAGUUCUUUGGAAUAGGACAUCAUAGAGGGUGAGAAUCCCGUAUUUGACCAUUAUUUCAGCUGUGUGAUACACUUUCAAAGAGUCGGAUUGUUUGGGAAUGCAGUCCAAAAUGGGUGGUAAAUUUCAUCUAAAGCUAAAUAUUGGCGAGAGACCGAUAGCGAACAAGUACCGUGAGGGAAAGAUGAAAAGAACUUUGAAAAGAGAGUUAAACAGUACGUGAAAUUGUCAAAAGGGAAGCGUUUGACACCAGUGUUGUUUUCUCGAAAAUCAAUUAAAAAAGGCAGGAUUUUGUGUUGUAUUGACUUUAUCAGCUUUCUGCACUCUUUUCUUGUCUUUUUUUAAUGCACUUUUCGUUUAACAAGUCAACAUCAAUUUCUUUUGUUGUAAAAGGGUCAUUGGAAGGUGGCUUUCUUUUCGGAGAAAGUGUUUAUAGCCUUUGGCCUCUGCAAUCGGAGAGAUCGAGGUCUGCAGCGUAGAUCCUUCGGGGUUAGAUACAUUUGUGCUAAGUUAUAGCCUCUCAUAGACAACUUGUUGACUAUGAUCAGUCAUGUAGCUUACUCGCUUAUGCUAUUUUACCUACGCUUAGGAUGUUGAUAGUCACAGCGUGUAC
rnacentral:rRNA from 1 species